rnacentral:tRNA from 1 species
CGGGGAGUGGCGCAGCCUGGUAGCGCACCUGCUUUGGGAGCAGGGGGUCGCAGGUUCGAAUCCUGUCUCCCCGACCA